UCACCCCACACCAGAGGCAGACCCUGCUGGAGGACUGAGGUUAGCGCACACCGCUAAUCAGCACUGAAGCCAGGGCAGUGCCGUAUGAUGGGCCCUUCCUGAUUUCCCAGCAAACUAGCACGGUUCCCCAGAGCACGGCCGUACAAAUGAAUGUACACACACACACACAUAUGCAUACAUUCUCCAUAGAUGAUGGGCCCGUUCCCUGAUUUCCCUACGCAAACUAAGCACGGUUCCCCACGAGCACGGCCGUACAAAUAGAAUGUACACACACACACACAUAUGCAUACAUUCUCCAUAGAUACAGCUCAUUCAUAUUGCUCGUGUUUGUUUGCUUUGGCAGGACGCGUCAGGGAAAACGUUAUGCCUUCUCUAAAGAGCUGAACCUUAAGGGCCCCAAAAACAUAAAGAUGUGAUCUGAGCCCUGUAAAACUGAAGAAAAUUUGGCUUUAGUGUACAAUUACCUGGUUUACCUCAGAGAGAUAAGAGUCUGCUGCUAGUUGGCGGUCCUGACCUGGGGUCCCCCUUGCUUUUCAGCGGCCGUGUGGUUUCGGUGAGGAGGGACGCUAACCGAAUGCAACUGGUAGCUAGCGUGCUGGAAUGAAUGUGGUGACAGGGCUAGUAAUUACCCACAGAAUGAAGGGCCGCAAUUGCUUAAGCCUAUUCAGGAGGCCAUUUUAUAUGUUUCUCAAAAUGCACCACAGAGGAUGGCCAACACCCGUUUCUAUCUUUAGAUGGGGGAAUCCACCCAAAGCUGUCACUCAUGUGGUCAAAUCUCUAAGAAAAAAAGUGUGGUUUUAGAAUGGUGUGCUGUUGUUAAAAAAAAGAAGAAGAAGAAGAAGAGGGGAGAAAAAACUGGAGACUGAAUGUACACAGAGUGGCGGACUGUGAUUUAAAAUCACUCCACUAACUAUUUACUGUGAAGGAAUAACAAAUUGUUAAGAAACUACCAAUGUCUUCGAUGGCUGGAGUGUUUAGUGAAAAACAUCUCACUUAAUCAGCUUCAUGUCUGGAAAAACAUGCUGGCCUGAGUCAAUAUACUUACAGACUGGGUAUGGAUGUUUAUUUUUGAUGAUAAAUAGCCCAAAUGCAUAAGCACAUAAACACAAAUAAAUAUUCGACUCACACUGUUGCCCUUCAAGACUCGAGAUCUGUGUUUCAUCAAGAGAAAAUUUUCAAUAUAACCAAAAAAGAGUGCUCUUACAGGCAAGACACUGGCAUGUGGCCAGCCUCACAAAUCAUAUUUAAGUAGCUUAUACCUUUAAAAGAGACUAAGCUGUAAUUAUUCAUUUAAAUAUGUAUGCAGUAUACCUGUCCAUUCCUCACACACAGGAAAACACGCACAUCUGUAUUUGUAGUUUUCAUUUAAUUCCUCUUGCAUAAAAACCCUUCAUGUGGAUAGAUGUUAUGGCCCAUUAGCAGGAGAGAGCACAGAAACUGAAAUGCUUGUUCGGUUAAUGAAUUUUGACUACUGUAAUUCAUGGAAAUCAUUUGCUUGUUUUCGGGGCAGAAAAAUGCAUUUUAAUAGUGCCAAUAAUUAUAAUAAGAAUAAUUAAUAUUGUUAUAUAUUAUUUAGUGCUGUCAAAUGAUUAAUCGCAUCCAAAAUAAAAGUUUUUAUUUACAUAAAAUAUCUGUGUGUACUGUGUUUAUUAUGUAUAAUAAAGACACACACAUAGGC
rnacentral:lncRNA from 1 species